UCCGAUUCCGCGAGCAGAGGUUCCGCGAGGGAGCGAUGGGUUCCGCGAGGAUGGGUUCCGAUUGCGCGAGGAUGGAGCAUGGGUUCAUUCCAGAACCGUCCACCGUCCAUUCCAGAACCGUCCACCGUCCAUGGGAGCGAUGGGUUCCGCAGAGGUUUCGCCACCGUCCAUUCCGAUUCCGCGAGCAGAGGUUCCGCGAGGGAGCGAUGGGUUCCGCGAGGAUGGGUUCCGAUUGCGCGAGGAUGGAGCAUGGGUUCAUUCCAGAACCGAUUCCGCGAGCAGAGGAUGGAGCAUGGGUUCCGCGAGGGAGCGAUGGGUUCCGAUUCCGCGAGCAGAGGUUCCGCGAGGGAGCGAGGAUGGAGCAUGGGUUCCGAUUGCGACACUACCCGUCCUCGAGCAGAGGUUCCGAUUGCGCGAGGAUGGGUUCCGAUUGCGCGAGGAUGGAGCAUGGGUUCAUUCCAGAACCGAUU
rnacentral:lncRNA from 1 species